rnacentral:rRNA from 1 species
UGAAUGAGUAUUAAAACUAAUAUUAAAUAUGAAAAAUUUUCUUCGAAAAAAAUAUUUAAAAAAAUUAAUUAACUAAAAGGAACUCGGCAAAUUUAGUUGCUUCGCCUGUUUAUCAAAAACAUGGCUCUCUGCCUAUGUAUAUAUAGAGAGUCGAGCCUGCCCAGUGAAUUUUUCAACGGCCGCGGUACUCUGACCGUGCAAAGGUAGCAUAAUCAUUUGCCUUAUAAUUGAAGGCUAGUAUGAAUGGUUUGACGAGAGCAACGCUGUCUCUUUUUUAUUUUCAAGAACUUAACUUUUAGGUGAAGAGGCCUAAAUUUUAUUGAAGGACAAGAAGACCCUGUCGAGCUUAAAAGAUAUUAUAGAAGUUUAUAUAUUUUUAAAUAAGUUUUCUAUUAAGCUUUUUGGUUGGGGCGACUAAGGAACAAAAAAAGCUUCUUGUUAAUAUAAAACGGUCACGUUUAGAUCCGGUAACAAUCGAUUAAAGAAAUUAGUUACCGCAGGGAUAACAGCAUAAUCUCUCUUGAGAGACCUAAUCGAAAGAGGGGGUUGUGACCUCGAUGUUGGACUAGAAUAUCCUAAAGAUGUAGAAGUCUU